CAAGUCGCACGAGAAAGGGGGCAACCCUGAGUAAAGUGGCGUACGGGUGAGUAACACGUGGAUCAUCUACCUCUUAGUGGGGAAUAACCCUGGGAAACCGGGGCUAAUACCGCAUAAGCUCGAGAGAGGAAAGCAGCAAUGCGCUGAGAGAGGAGUCCGCGGCCGAUUAGCUAGUUGGCAGGGUAAAAGCCUACCAAGGCAUAGAUCGGUAGCCGGCCUGAGGGGGCACACGGCCACACUGGCACUGAAACACGGGCCAGACUCCUACGGGAGGCAGCAGUGGGGAAUCUUGCACAAUGGGGGCAACCCUGAUGCAGCGACGCCGCGUGAGCGAUGAAGCCCUUCGGGGUGUAAAGCUCUUUCGGCAGGGAAGAUAAUGACGGUACCUGCAGAAGCAGCUGCGGCUAACUACGUGCCAGCAGCCGCGGUAAUACGUAGGCAGCGAGCGUUGUUCGGAGUUACUGGGCGUAAAGGGUGUGUAGGCGGUUGUUUAAGUUUGGUGUGAAAUCUCCCGGCUCAACUGGGAGGGUGCGCCNAAUACUGAAUGACUUCGAGUGCGGGAGAGGAAAGUGGAAUUCCUGGUGUAGCGGUGAAAUGCGUAGAUAUCAGGAGGAACACCGGUGGUGUAGACGGCUUUCUGGACCGUAACUGACGCUGAGACACGAAAGCGUGGGUAGCAAACAGGAUUAGAUACCCUGGUAGUCCACGCCCUAAACGAUGCAUAUUUGGUGUGGGCAGUUCAUUCUGUCCGUGCCGGAGCUAACGCGUUAAAUUGCCGCCUGGGGAGUACAGUCGCAAGGCUGAAACUCAAAGGAUUGACGGGGGCCCGCACA
rnacentral:rRNA from 1 species